rnacentral:rRNA from 1 species
GAUGAACGCUGGCGGCGUGCAUACUACAUGCAAGUCGAGCGAAGCGGGGACGGGUGAGUAACACGUGGAUAACCUCCUAUAAGACUGGGAUAACUUCGGGAAACCGGAGCUAAACCGGAUACUUAGAGAUGGAGCCGCGCUGCAUUAGCUAGUUGGGAAGUUAACGGCUUACCAAGGAAACUAUGCAUAGCCGACCUGAGAGUGUGAGCGGCCACACAGGAACUGAUACACGGUCCAGACUCCAACGGAAGGCAGCAGUAGGGAAUCUUCCGCAAUGGGCGAAAGCCUGACGGAGCAACCCCGCGUGAGUGAUGAAGGUCUUCGGAUCGUAAAACUCUGUUAUUAGGGAAUCGGUACCUAAUCAGAAAGCCACGGCUAACUUCGUGCCAGCAGCCGCGGUAAUUC